UCCUUUUACUUUAAUGAACUGCAGCCCCACGUAUCAGGGCUUUUCUGAAUUUGGUGGGUCCUUCGAGAGAAUUAUUUAACUUAAAGGCAGUCUUGGAGAUCUCUUGAACUGCAUUUUUGAACAUGCAAUCUCUAAUAGCCAUUGGUCACUCUUCCUUUUAUGCAAACUCUGUUUCAAUUCUCUGCACAGAACUUUUUCCUUUGUAAACAGACUUCUCUGCAGGUUCACUGCUGUGUAUCCAGUGCCUUAGAGAAGCACCUGACACAGAGAAGGCAUUCGAAUCUGACUAAGAAAAUCCAGUACACAAACUGCAUUGGUUUCCACCAUCUCAGGUAAAAGACCUGGUGGGCCAACCAUCCCAUAAGAGAACCCAAACUAAACCUUCAAGCUACAGGUACUAUGCUGGCACCAGCAAGAACCCCUGUGAUUGACCUCAAGACAACGAUGGACCUGACCUGCAUGUACCCACCUAUCUUGGCCCCACAUUCCCCUUAUCUAAAUCCAGAAGUAGUCUCAUCAUUUUGGAGACAGUCUUUGAGAUGUUCGUCCCAGUGUUGACCUCAUUGCAAAUAAAUUCCUUUUUGCUUCA